rnacentral:tRNA from 1 species
AGCGACAUAUCGGAAUCGAACCGAUGACAUAAAGUUUGGAAAACUCCAGCUCUGCCACUGAGUUAAUGUCGC